UCAAGUGAAUAAGUGCAUCAGGUGGAUGCCUUGGCGAUGAUAGGCGACGAAGGACGUGUAAGCCUGCGAAAAGCGUGGGGAAGCUGGCAAUAAAGCUAUGAUCCCGCGAUGUCCGAAUGGGGAAACCCACCUCUUAGGAGGUAUCCUUAUCUGAAUACAUAGGAUAAGCGAAGCGAACCCGGAGAACUGAACCAUCUAAGUACCCGGAGGAAAAGAAAUCAACCGAGAUUCCGCAAGUAGUGGCGAGCGAACGCGGAGGAGCCUGUACGUGAUAACUGUUGAGAUAGAAGAACAAGCUGGGAAGCUUGACCAUAGUGGGUGAUAGUCCCGUAUUCGAAAUCUCAACAGUGGUACUAAGCGUACGAAAAGUAGGGCGGGACACGUGAAAUCCUGUCUGAAUAUGGGGGGACCAUCCUCCAAGGCUAAAUACUCAUCAUCGACCGAUAGUGAACCAGUACCGUGAGGGAAAGGCGAAAAGAACCCCGGGAGGGGAGUGAAAUAGAACCUGAAACCUGAUGCAUACAAACAGUGGGAGCACCCUUGUGGUGUGACUGCGUACCUUUUGUAUAAUGGGUCAACGACUUACAUUCAGUAGCGAGCUUAACCGAAUAGGGGAGGCGUAGGGAAACCGAGUCUUAAUAGGGCGAACAGUUGCUGGGUGUAGACCCGAAACCGAGUGAUCUAUCCAUGGCCAGGUUGAAGGUGCCGUAACAGGUACUGGAGGACCGAACCCACGCAUGUUGCAAAAUGCGGGGAUGAGCUGUGGAUAGGGGUGAAAGGCUAAACAAACUCGGAGAUAGCUGGUUCUCCCCGAAAACUAUUUAGGUAGUGCCUCGAGCAAGACACUGAUGGGGGUAAAGCACUGUUAUGGCUAGGGGGUUAUUGCAACUUACCAACCCAUGGCAAACUAAGAAUACCAUCAAGUGGUUCCUCGGGAGACAGACAGCGGGUGCUAACGUCCGUUGUCAAGAGGGAAACAACCCAGACCGCCAGCUAAGGUCCCAAAUGAUAGAUUAAGUGGUAAACGAAGUGGGAAGGCCCAGACAGCCAGGAUGUUGGCUUAGAAGCAGCCAUCAUUUAAAGAAAGCGUAAUAGCUCACUGGUCGAGUCGUCCUGCGCGGAAGAUGUAACGGGGCUCAAAUCUAUAACCGAAGCUGCGGAUGCCAGUUUACUGGCAUGGUAGGGGAGCGUUCUGUAGGCCGAUGAAGGUGCAUUGUAAAGUGUGCUGGAGGUAUCAGAAGUGCGAAUGUUGACAUGAGUAGCGAUAAAGCGGGUGAAAAGCCCGCUCGCCGAAAGCCCAAGGUUUCCUACGCAACGUUCAUCGGCGUAGGGUGAGUCGGCCCCUAAGGCGAGGCAGAAAUGCGUAGUCGAUGGGAAACAGGUUAAUAUUCCUGUACUUGAUUCAAAUGCGAUGUGGGGACGGAGAAGGUUAGGUUAGCAAGCUGUUGGAAUAGCUUGUUUAAGCCGGUAGGUGGAAGACUUAGGCAAAUCCGGGUCUUCUUAACACCGAGAAGUGAUGACGAGUGUCUACGGACAUGAAGUAACCGAUACCACGCUUCCAGGAAAAGCCACUAAGCUUCAGUUUGAAUUGAACCGUACCGCAAACCGACACAGGUGGGCAGGAUGAGAAUUCUAAGGCGCUUGAGAGAACUCGGGAGAAGGAACUCGGCAAAUUGAUACCGUAACUUCGGGAGAAGGUAUGCCCUCUGAGGUGAAGGAUUUACUCCGUAAGCUUUGGAGGGUCGCAGAGAAUCGGUGGCUGCGACUGUUUAUUAAAAACACAGCACUCUGCUAACACGAAAGUGGACGUAUAGGGUGUGACGCCUGCCCGGUGCUGGAAGGUUAAUUGAAGAUGUGCAAGCAUCGGAUCGAAGCCCCAGUAAACGGCGGCCGUAACUAUAACGGUCCUAAGGUAGCGAAAUUCCUUGUCGGGU
rnacentral:rRNA from 1 species